UACGUAGGGUGCGAGCGUUAAUCGGAAUUACUGGGCGUAAAGAGCGCGCAGGCGGUCGGCCAAGUCGAGUGUGAAAGCCCCCGGCUCAACUGGGGAGGGUCAUUCGAUACUGGUCGACUCGAAGGCAGGAGAGGGAAGCGGAAUUCCCGGUGUAGUGGUGAAAUGCGUAGAUAGUCGGGAGGAACACCAGUGGCGAAGGCGGCUUCCUGGCCUGUUCUUGACGCUGAGG
rnacentral:rRNA from 1 species